GACGAACGCUGGCGGCGUGCUUAACACAUGCAAGUCGAACGAAGUGGCGAACGGGUGAGUAACGCGUAAUCAACCUGCCCUUCAGAGGGGGACAACAGUUGGAAAAGACUGCUAAUACCGCAUACUGAAGGAGGGGAUUGCGUCUGAUUAGCUAGUUGGAGGGGUAACGGCCAACCAAGACGAUGAUCAGUAGCCGGUCAGAGAGGAUGAACGGCCACAUUGGGACGUAGACACGGCCCAGACUCCUACGGGAGGCGGCAGUGGGGAAUCUUCCGCAAUGGACGAAAGUCUGACGGAGCAACGCCGCGUGAGUGAAGAAGGUUUUCGGAUCGUAAAACUCUGUGGUUAGAGAAGCGGUAUCUAACCAGAAAGCCACGGCUAACUACGUGCCAGCAGCCGCGGUAAUAC
rnacentral:rRNA from 1 species